GAUGAACGCUGGCGGCGUGCCUAAUACAUGCAAGUCGAGCGAACAGACGAGGAGCUUGCUCCUCUGACGUUAGCGGCGGACGGGUGAGUAACACGUGGAUAACCUACCUAUCAGACUGGGAUAACUUCGGGAAACCGGAGCUAAUACCGGAUAAUAUAUUGAACCGCAUGGUUCAAUAGUGAAAGACGGUUUUGCUGUCACUUAUAGAUGGAUCCGCGCCGCAUUAGCUAGUUGGUAAGGUAACGGCUUACCAAGGCAACGAUGCGUAGCCGACCUGAGAGGGUGAUCGGCCACACUGGAACUGAGACACGGUCCAGACGCCUACGGGAGGCAGCAGUAGGGAAUCUUCCGCAAUGGGCGAAAGCCUGACGGAGCAACGCCGCGUGAGUGAUGAAGGUCUUCGGAUCGUAAAACUCUGUUAUUAGGGAAGAACAAAUGUGUAAGUAACUAUGCACGUCUUGACGGUACCUAAUCAGAAAGCCACGGCUAACUACGUG
rnacentral:rRNA from 1 species